CCACGUUUUUGCAAUACAGUUCCCGUAUACGUUUUCAAUUUGAAAACCGUACGGAACCGUAUUGAAAACCGUAUGCAUUGACUCUCCAUUGAAAACCAUAUGCCAAAAGAUGCAUCCGGUUGUGUCCGUUUUGCAUCCUGUAUGGUUUUGUCAGUUUUUUUUUCCCGUACCCAAAACCGUAGCCUACCACGGUUUUUGGUCCGGGUGAAAACCGUACUGAAACGUAUAUGUUUUUUUAAACAUGGGAGUCAAUGGGAACUGUACAGACCUGUAUGUGCAUACGGUUCCAUCCGGUUUUCACCAUACGUUUUUUUACUUUGCACAGUUUUUUUCUUGGAAUUUCAAUCAAACAAGUGAAACUUUAUUCAUAAUGGAGUGAAAAGUUAAAAACGUAUACCUUUUUUUCUUAAAAAACUGAUGCAACCGGACAUCAUUUUUCAACCGUAUAAGGAUUAAAAUUUGUACACACGUUUUGAUACAGUUUAGUCAGGUUUUGAGGAAUCCGUUUUUUUUUUUUAAAUCAAAAACCUGAUAAGGGAACUGUAUUGAACAACGUGGGGUGAACCCAGCCUAACCAAUCACAGCUCAGCUUUCACUUUACCAGAGCUCGUUAGCUGAGCUGUGAUUGGUUGCUGUGGAAAAAUCUCUCCACUUUUUCUCUCACCAGUUUGAUAAAUCUGGGCCUAUAUCUUCUACAUAUGUACAAACAGUAUGUAUUCAACAUUUCUUCAACAGGUGUAUAUAGAGUAUGUAUUCACGAUAUCUUCUACAGGUGUGUAUACGGUAUAUACUCACGAUAUCUUCUACAGGUGUGUAUACGGUAUAUAUUCACGAUAUCUUCUACAGGUGUGUAUACGGUAUAUAUUCACGAUAUCUUCUACAGGUGUGUAUACGGUCUAUAUUCACGAUAUCUUCUACAAGUGUGUAUACGGUAUAUAUUCACGAUAUCUUCUACAGGUGUGUAUACGGUAUAUAUUCACGAUAUCUUCUACAGGUGUGUAUACGGUCUAUAUUCACGAUAUCUUCUACAAGUGUGUAUACGGUAUAUAUUCACGAUAUCUUCUACAGGUGUGUAUACGGUAUAUAUUCACGAUAUCUUCUACAGGUGUGUAUACGGUAUAUAUUCACGAUAUCUUCUACAAGUGUGUAUACGGUAUAUAUUCACGAUAUCUUCUACAGGUGUGUAUACGGUAUAUAUUCACGAUAUCUUCUACAGGAGUAUAUACGGUAUAUAUUCAACCACAUUGGUAUCAGCCCUGCUGGCGCUUACAGUCCAACUGACCUAUGCCAAGUACCCAAACAAUGAGGAUGUUAUAGGACUCCACACCUUUUUUUUGGAAAAAAACAAGAUAUGAUACAAGUCUUCUGUCUAACUAUUGUGUGUUGUGAACAUGAACACCCAAACCCUAUACUUAGGAUAAGUAUUGAACGUAUGUCACCAACAUGGCAAGACAGCAUGGAUUUUGUUAGCAAAACAGAAACUUGGCCUACCUAUAGUGAUGCCCCCUGAAGACUUCCAUCUUCAAACAGCGGGUUUGAUAAUGAUAAAAUGCUUUUUUUUAAAAUGUGUAAAAUGGUUUUAUAUUUUUUUAUUUUUAUUUUUUAGUUUUAUGUGAAUAAUGCUUACCCAUUGUACCUCUGGGACCCUAACCUAUCGGGACAAUGUGGGUCUGAAUGCAGUAAAUGCUGUGGCCGUAAGGGAGCAUUUGCACCAGGAUUUUGGGAUAUGCCAGGAGAAUUUUAAAACUGGCUGCUGCUGUAUGAAAGGGCAACUCCCCUCAAAUUUUUUGGACUGUAUCAAUUUUUGUUGCCUGACUGAAAACCGCUGUCUGCUGCAGUUUCAGUUGGGCAACAAAAACUGACACAAUUCGAAAAUGAGCUGACCAAAGUCACUAUAUGACUCCGUCCGGCUCAUUGAGAUUGAUGGCGUGCGGUGCAGGUGUGGCUGGGAUACAGUUUUUAAAUUCUCCGCAUGGAUCCGGCUUUCGUAUCCCAAAAUCGUGGUGGUAUCAUAGGGAAACAUUUAAUUAAAAUACAAGCUUAGAAAUAAGGAGCAUCACACAGAACUGGAGGAACCCUCAGAAGAAGCAGCAGCAAAAUCCAUGUUGGGAUGAGGAUGCCAUCCUGAUAACAUUAUUGAUAGAAUGCAGAAAAAUGCUAUGCUUGACUCGCAAUGCCUUGAGGCAGAGAUGGACAACAUUGAACUGUUGACCCAUAGUGAGAAAGAAAGACUUGUUCCUACAGGUUUACGAGAUUGCUUGUGUUGAAAACUCCCUCGCUAGACCAAGUGUCUGUCCAAUGGCGAACCAGCAUGAACGCGGCUCAGCCUGGGAACAAAACGUGCGGCCAAAGAGAGACGAAGAUUCCUUCCACAAGCCAUCUCAAGAUGUCAUUACUCUUAAAGGGACCAAAGACCCGUCGGACAUCACUGUCACCCACAUCUAAGCGUCCAUGUAUUUGUUAUAAAUCGAAGCUGUGAAUAAUGUUGAUAAUACCCGUAUAAUCUUAGAUUAUCCAAGCAUGCCUGGAAAAUGUGGAAUAUAUGACGGUGGAAUUUUCCCCCUGGAGAGGGGGAGGGGGGGGGUGAUAUUCUGGGGAAGUGGCGAAAA